CAAUAGCGUAUAUUAAAGUUGUUGCGGUUAAAAAGCUCGUAGUUGGAUUUCUGCAUGGAAGGAGCGGUCCACCCUUUGGGUGAGUUACUGCUACCUUUUGUGCAUCUUCCUGAGAAGGCGUUCUUCACUUCAUUGUGAGGCCGCAUGACUCAGGACGUUUACUUUGAGGAAAUGAGAGUGUUUCAAGCAGGCAAAUGCCUUGAAUACGUUAGCAUGGAAUAAUAGCAUCGGAUCAUCGUUCAGCUGUUGGUGUCUGGACGAGGAUAAAGGUGAACAGGGAUUGUUGGGGGCAUUCGUAUUUAACUGUCAGAGGUGAAAUUCUUGGAUUUGUUGAAGACGAGCUACUGCGAAAGCAUUUGCCAAAGAUGUUCUCAUUGAUCAAGAACGAAAGUUAGGUGAUCGAAGAUGAUCAGAUACCGU
rnacentral:rRNA from 1 species